rnacentral:tRNA from 1 species
GAGUGUAGUUCAAUGGUAGAACGCCACCUUGCCAAGGUGGACACGAGGGUUCAAUUCCCUUCACUC